CUGCUGCAAUAACUCUUUGUUACCUGGGAUUACCUAGGAGUUAGCAAACAUAAACAACUGACUUAGAAUUUGGUCUCAGGGUGCUCGCGGUGCCCUGCGGACUUCAUUCACCGAAAGGUCUGCAAAAGGAAGCCAUCAGGGAGCUAUGACCUUGUCUAAAACCAUCUAGGGAGAGACAUUUCUUCCUCUCUGAUCUGAAACAAAAUAAAAACCAUAAAAUGAAACCAUCAAAAA